CUUUUUUCCCACUCUCAACUCUCACAUGCACGAUCAUGUUCAUAUUAGAAAACCUUUUGUCCUCUCUUCUGUCUUAUGAUAUCCAUCAUUGUCUUUGAAAACCCUGUCAUAUCUUUCUGAUAAUAAUUUUGUGAUAAGAACAUGGAGAUGAAUGUGGUUUUCUUUUGUGGUGAUGUGGGAGAGAUAUAUACGCACAAAAUAUAUUAAAGAAAUUUACACUACCAAUAAAGUUUCUUUGUCAUUCUCUCUCUGUUCAGGUGACAAAUAAAAACACAUUACAGAUCCCUUCUCUGAGAAUUUUGUCUGGCAUGGUCUUAAGUUUUGAGUUUUUGUGUUGCAUUCUUCGAUAAGUUACUUAAUGAUCAAAAUUGGUCUAGUUCAAUAGCC
rnacentral:lncRNA from 1 species